CAGGCUGCAACCCGCCUGCACGAAGCCGGAGUUGCUAGUAAUCGCGGGUCAGCAUACCGCGGUGAAUACGUUCCCGGGCCUUGUACACACCGCCCGUCACACCACGAAAGUUGGUAACACCCGAAGCCGGUGGCCUAACCCUUAGGGGAGGGAGCUGUCGAAGGUGGGACUGAUGAUUGGGGUGAAGUCGUAACAAGGUAAC
rnacentral:rRNA from 1 species